rnacentral:rRNA from 1 species
GAUGAACGCUGGCGGUAUGCUUAACACAUGCAAGUCGAACGGACUCUUCGGAGUUAGUGGCGGACGGGUGAGUAACGCGUGAGAAUCUGCCUUCAGGUCGGGGAUAACAGUUGGAAACGACUGCUAAUACCGGAUGUGCAGCAAUGUGAAAGAUUUAUUGCCUGAAGAUGAGCUCGCGUCUGGUUAGCUAGCAGGUGUGGUAAUGGCGCACCUAGGCGACGAUCAGUAACUGGUCUGAGAGGAUGACCAGUCACACUGGGACUGAGACACGGCCCAGACUCCUACGGGAGGCAGCAGUGGGGAAUUUUCCGCAAUGGGCGAAAGCCUGACGGAGCAAUACCGCGUGAGGGACGACGGCUUUUGGGUUGUAAACCUCUUUUCUCUGGAAGAAGAUCUGACGGUACCAGAGGAAUCAGCAUCGGCUAACUCCGUGCCAGCCAGCCGCGGUAAGU